rnacentral:rRNA from 1 species
AGUGAACGCUGGCGGUAGGCCUAACACAUGCAAGUCGAACGGCAGCACAGUAAGAGCUUGCUCUUACGGUUGGCGAGUGGCGGACGGGUGAGGAAUACAUCGGAAUCUACUUUUUCGUGGGGGAUAACGUAGGGAAACUUAUGCUAAUACCGCAUACGACCUACGGGUGAAAGCAGUGGAUCUUCGGACCUUUCGCGAUUGAAUGAGACGAUGUCGGAUUAGCUAGUUGGCGGGGUAAAGGCCCACCAAGGCGACGAUCCGUAGCUGGUCUGAGAGGAUGAUCAGCCACACUGGAACUGAGACACGGUCCAGACUCCUACGGGAGGCAGCAGUGGGGAAUAUUGGACAAUGGGCGCAAGCCUGAUCCAGCCAUACCGCGUGGGUGAAGAAGGCCUUCGGGUUGUAAAGCCCUUUUGUUGGGAAAGAAAAGCAGCAGGUUAAUACCCCGCUGUUCUGACGGUACCCAAAGAAUAAGCACCGGCUAACUUCGUG